UCGAGCGAACAGACGAGGAGCUUGCUCCUCUGACGUUAGCGGCGGACGGGUGAGUAACACGUGGAUAACCUACCUAUAAGACUGGGAUAACUUCGGGAAACCGGAGCUAAUACCGGAUAAUAUAUUGAACCGCAUGGUUCAAUAGUGAAAGACGGUUUUGCUGUCACUUAUAGAUGGAUCCGCGCCGCAUUAGCUAGUUGGUAAGGUAACGGCUUACCAAGGCGACGAUGCGUAGCCGACCUGAGAGGGUGAUCGGCCACACUGGAACUGAGACACGGUCCAGACUCCUACGGGAGGCAGCAGUAGGGAAUCUUCCGCAAUGGGCGAAAGCCUGACGGAGCAACGCCGCGUGAGUGAUGAAGGUCUUCGGAUCGUAAAACUCUGUUAUUAGGGAAGAACAAAUGUGUAAGUAACUAUGCACGUCUUGACGGUACCUAAUCAGAAAGCCACGGCUAACUACGUGCCAGCAGCCGCGGUAAUACGUAGGUGGCAAGCGUUAUCUGGAAUUAUUGGGCGUAAAGCGCGCGUAGGCGGUUUUUUAAGUCUGAUGUGAAAGCCCACGGCUCAACCGUGGAGGGUCAUUGGAAACUGGAAAACUUGAGUGCAGAAGAGGAAAGUGGAAUUCCAUGUGUAGCGGUGAAAUGCGCAGAGAUAUGGAGGAACACCAGUGGCGAAGGCGACUUUCUGGUCUGUAACUGACGCUGAUGUGCGAAAGCGUGGGGAU
rnacentral:rRNA from 1 species